AUUGAACGCUAGCGGCAUGCCUAACACAUGCAAGUCGAACGGAGUGGCGGACGGGUGAGUAAUAUAUGGGAACGUGCCUAGUGGCGGGGGAUAACUACUCGAAACGGUGGCUAAUACCGCAUACCAUUCGAUCGGCCGAUAUGGGAUUAGCUAGUUGGUGGGGUAACGGCUCACCAAGGCAACGAUCCGUAGCUGGUCUGAGAGGACGACCAGCCACACUGGGACUGAGACACGGCCCAGACUCCUACGGGAGGCAGCAGUGGGGAAUUUUGGACAAUGGGGGAAAGCCUGAUCCAGCCAUGCCGCGUGUAUGAAGAAGGCCUUCGGGUUGUAAAGUACUUUUGGCAGAGAAGCGGUAUCUGCAGAAUAAGCACCGGCUAACUACGUGCCAGCAGCCGCGGUAAUUC
rnacentral:rRNA from 1 species